rnacentral:rRNA from 1 species
UACAGAGGUCCCAAGCGUUGUUCGGAUUCACUGGGCGUAAAGGGUGCGUAGGUGGUGGAGUAAGUCUGAUGUGAAAUCUCCGAGCUCAACUCGGAAAUGGCAUUGGAAACUACUCUGCUCGAGGGUUGGAGGGGGGACUGGAAUACUUGGUGUAGCAGUGAAAUGCGUAGAUAAUCAGUGGAACACCAGUGGCGAAGGCGAAGUCCCUGGACAACUCCUGACACUGAGGCACGAAAGCUAGGGGAGCAAACAGGG